UACAGAGGUCUCAAGCGUUAAUCGGAGUUACUGGGCGUAAAGGGCUCGUAGGCGGCCAACUAAGUCAUACGUGAAAUCCCUCGGCUUAACCGGGGAACUGCGUCUGAUACUGGAUGGCUUGAGUUCGGGAGAGGGAUGCGGAAUUCCAGGUGUAGCGGUGAAAUGCGUAGAUAUCUGGAGGAACACCGGUGGCGAAGGCGGCAUCCUGGACCGAUACUGACGCUGAGGAGCGAAAGCCAGGGGAGCAAACGGG
rnacentral:rRNA from 1 species